rnacentral:rRNA from 1 species
ACACUCCUACGGGAGGCAGCAGUGGGGAAUAUUGCACAAUGGGCGCAAGCCUGAUGCAGCCAUGCCGCGUGUAUGAAGAAGGCCUUCGGGUUGUAAAGUACUUUCAGCGGGGAGGAAGGCGAUAAGGUUAAUAACCUUGUCGAUUGACGUUACCCGCAGAAGAAGCACCGGCUAACUCCGUGCCAGCAGCCGCGGUAAUACGGAGGGUGCAAGCGUUAAUCGGAAUUACUGGGCGUAAAGCGCACGCAGGCGGUCUGUCAAGUCGGAUGUGAAAUCCCCGGGCUCAACCUGGGAACUGCAUUCGAAACUGGCAGGCUAGAGUCUUGUAGAGGGGGGUAGAAUUCCAGGUGUAGCGGUGAAAUGCGUAGAGAUCUGGAGGAAUACCGGUGGCGAAGGCGGCCCCCUGGACAAAGACUGACGCUCAGGUGCGAAAGCGUGGGGAGCAAACAGGAUUAGAUACCCGGGUAGUCCCAUGAU